UACGAAGGGGGCUAGCGUUGCUCGGAAUCACUGGGCGUAAAGCGCACGUAGGCGGACUCUUAAGUCAGGGGUGAAAUCCUGGAGCUCAACUCCAGAACUGCCCUUGAUACUGGGAGCCUUGAGUUCGGGAGAGGUGAGUGGAACUGCGAGUGUAGAGGUGAAAUUCGUAGAUAUUCGCAAGAACACCAGUGGCGAAGGCGGCUCACUGGUCCAUUACUGACGCUGAGGUGCGAAAGCGUGGGGAGCAAACAGG
rnacentral:rRNA from 1 species